rnacentral:rRNA from 1 species
GAAUUCGCCCUUAGAGUUUGAUUCUGGCUCAGGACGAACGCUGGCGGCGUGCCUAACACAUGCAAGUCGAACGGAGAUUUUACGGAAUGCGACUUCGGUCAAAUGAAAUUUAAUCUUAGUGGCGGACGGGUGAGUAACACGUGAGCAACCUGCCUUUCAGAGGGGAAUAACGGCUGGAAACGGUCGCUAAUACCGCAUAACAUACACUUUAGGCAUCUUUAGUGUAUCAAAGAUUUUAUCGCUGAAAGAUGGGCUCGCGUCUGAUUAGCUAGUUGGUGAGGUAACGGCUCACCAAGGCGACGAUCAGUAGCCGGACUGAGAGGUUGAACGGCCACAUUGGGACUGAGACACGGCCCAGACUCCUACGGGAGGCAGCAGUGGGGAAUAUUGCACAAUGGGCGCAAGCCUGAUGCAGCAACGCCGCGUGAGGGAAGACGGUUUUCGGAUUGUAAACCUUUGUCUUUGGUGAAGAAGAAAGUGACGGUAACCAAGGAGGAAGCCACGGCUAACUACGUGCCAGCAGCCGCGGUAAUACGUAGGUGGCAAGCGUUGUCCGGAAUUACUGGGUGUAAAGGGAGCGCAGGCGGGACUGCAAGUUGGAUGUGAAAUACCGGGGCUCAACCCCGGGGCUGCAUCCAAAACUGUAGUUCUUGAGUGAAGUAGAGGUAGGCGGAAUUCCGAGUGUAGCGGUGAAAUGCGUAGAUAUUCGGAGGAACACCAGUGGCGAAGGCGGCCUACUGGGCUUUAACUGACGCUGAGGCUCGAAAGUGUGGGGAGCAAACAGGAUUAGAUACCCUGGUAGUCCACACUGUAAACGAUGAUAGCUAGGUGUGGGGGGUUUGACCCCUUCCGUGCCGGAGUUAACGCAAUAAGCUAUCCACCUGGGGAGUACGGCCGCAAGGUUGAAACUCAAAGGAAUUGACGGGGGCCCGCACAAGCAGUGGAUUAUGUGGUUUAAUUCGAAGCAACGCGAAGAACCUUACCAGGUCUUGACAUCGUGCGCAUAGUAUAGAGAUAUAUGAAGUCCUUCGGGACGCAUAGACAGGUGGUGCAUGGUUGUCGUCAGCUCGUGUCGUGAGAUGUCGGGUUAAGUCCCUCAACGAGCGCAACCCUUACGAUUAGUUGCUACGCAAGAGCACUCUAAUAGGACUGCCGUUGACAAAACGGAGGAAGGUGGGGAUGACGUCAAAUCAUCAUGCCCCUUAUGACCUGGGCUACACACGUACUACAAUGGUGAUCAACAGAGGGAAGCAAAACGGCGACGUGGAGCAAAUCCCUAAAAGUCAUCUCAGUUCGGAUACGCAGGCUGCAACCCGCCUGCGUGAAGUUGGAAUUGCUAGUAAUCGCAGAUCAGAAUGCUGCGGUGAAUACAAUGCCGGGCCUUGCACACACCGCCCGUCA